UACACCCACUAUCCGCCCGGGAACUACGAGCAAAAGCUUAAAACCCAAAGGACUUGGCGGUGCUUUAGAUCCACCUAGAGGAGCCUGUUCUAGAACCGAUAACCCCCGUUCAACCUCACCUUUCCUUGUUUUUCCCGCCUAUAUACCGCCGUCGUCAGCUUACCCUCUGAAGGUCUAAUAGUAAGCAAAACUGGUAAAACCUAAAACGUCAGGUCGAGGUGUAGCGUAUGGAAAGGGAAGAAAUGGGCUACAUUCGCUACUACAGCGAACACGGAAGGUGCACUGAAACGUACACCUGAAGGAGGAUUUAGCAGUAAGCGGGAAAUAGAGCGUCCCGCUGAAAUCGGCCCUGAAGCGCGCACACACCGCCCGUCACUCUCCCCGAAAACACCCACUCAGUUAAUUAAAACCUAAUAAUCAUAGAGGGGAGGCAAGUCGUAACAUGGUAAGUGUACCGGAAGGUGCACUUGGAAAAAU
rnacentral:rRNA from 1 species